UUUGGUAUUGAAAUCCUAGUAUAAGUGUAAUAAUAAAAUCUCCUUAUUCUGUGAAUUUCUACUUUUUUUGAUAGAGACACUUUUGUUUGUGGAAUUUAUGAACUUUGGUGUAAUGCCGAGACGUUGUGCUUUCGGUUGUGCGCUCCGUGAGAUUCCAAUGCAUCAUUUCCCAGAUGCUGUCAAAUUUCCUGAGCAGUUUAAAACUUGGGUCAGUCUUGUUGGUAGAAACCCUAAAACAUCUGAUUUUGAAUAUUAUAAGAUGAAGUGAAUUUGUGAUAUACACUUUUGUGACAGACACAGCAAUCGUAAUCAACGGCUAAGCACAUUGGCACUUCCGAUGCUUCAUCUGCCUGGACAAGUUCAGAGUCAAGAAAUCUUAGGACAAGCUUCAUCCACACAACAUUUACUGCCUACAAUAAUACAGCAAGACUGUUCAGAGCCGUAUGUGAGCAACUUUAUUUUAGAAAAAGCAUCAACUACAACAACAUUCCAACCUGUUGCUGCAGGUAAAAUUCACAUAUUUUUUUUAAAUUUGUUGGCU